AACGCAUCUUGCGCCCUUUGGUAUUCCGAAGGGCAUGCCUGUUUGAGUGUCGUGAAAAUCUCUUCCCAUCGGGUUUCCGAUGACGAAGGACUUGGGUGUUGCCAGUCAUAUGGCUCGCCUUAAAGGUCUCAGUGGUUCAGAAGAUUGAAUCUGGCGUAAUAAGUUUCGCUGGCCUAGAUCGGACGUCUGCUCAUAACCCGUCUUCCGACAUUUUUUGCUCAGACCUCAAAUCAGGUAGGACUACCCGCUGAACUUAA
rnacentral:misc_RNA from 1 species